GCUAAAUGCUAAUUAAGACAAUCAGCUCCACAAAACUCUCUCUGUAUUUCUCAGUAUGGCUAUGUUUAAAAGACGGUGUUGUCCGGCGACUUUUGCGCGUAGCAGCUCGAGUGAUGCGUUUUAUGUCACCUCUGAGAAAGGAAACCGCAGUGUUCAGCUUUGGAGACAAAGAGGACA